rnacentral:misc_RNA from 1 species
AAAGUCGUAACAAGGUUUCCGUAGGUGAACCUGCGGAAGGAUCAUUCUAGAAGUCUGUACCGCGUGUAUAUGCCCAAAGCAUUACAUUGCUGUACUUACUCGACUUGUGAACCAUAUCCGUCUUGGCGGCAAGUCGCUGCAUGCGUAACGAAAGUUUCACAUGUGGCUUGACGGCCGUCAAGCAUUUAACACCACUCAUCACCACAUAUUAAUAUUAAAAUAUACAACUUUUAGCAACGGAUCUCUAGGCUCUC